rnacentral:rRNA from 1 species
GAGGAUGGUAGAAUUCCAGGUGUAGCGGUGAAAUGCGUAGAGAUCUGGAGGAAUACCGAUGGCGAAGGCAGCCAUCUGGCCUAAUACUGACGCUGAGGUACGAAAGCAUGGGGAGCAAACAGGAUUAGAUACCCUGGUAGUCCAUGCCGUAAACGAUGUCUACUAGCCGUUGGGGCCUUUGAGGCUUUAGUGGCGCAGCUAACGCGAUAAGUAGACCGCCUGGGGAGUACGGUCGCAAGACUAAAACUCAAAUGAAUUGACGGGGGCCCGCACAAGCGGUGGAGCAUGUGGUUUAAUUCGAUGCAACGCGAAGAACCUUACCUGGUCUUGACAUAGUAAGAACUUUCCAGAGAUGGAUUGGUGCCUUCGGGAACUUACAUACAGGUGCUGCAUGGCUGUCGUCAGCUCGUGUCGUGAGAUGUUGGGUUAAGUCCCGCAACGAGCGCAACCCUUUUCCUUAUUUGCCAGCGGGUUAAGCCGGGAACUUUAAGGAUACUGCCAGUGACAAACUGGAGGAAGGCGGGGACGACGUCAAGUCAUCAUGGCCCUUACGACCAGGGCUACACACGUGCUACAAUGGUCGGUACAAAGGGUUGCUACCUAGCGAUAGGAUGCUAAUCUCAAAAAGCCGAUCNAGUCCGGAUGGAGU